rnacentral:rRNA from 1 species
GAGGUAGAUAGGUUCGAGGUGGAAGUGUGGUGACACAUGGAGCUGACGAAUACUAAUCGAUCGAGGACUUAACCAAU